CCUACGGGCGGCAGCAGUGAGGAAUAUUGGUCAAUGGACGCAAGUCUGAACCAGCCAUGCCGCGUGCAGGAAGACGGCUUUCGGGUUGUAAACUUCUUUUCUGGGGGACGAACAAAUGACGGUACCCCAGGAAUAAGCCACGGCUAACUACGUGCCAGCAGCCGCGGUAAUACGUAGGUGGCAAGCGUUAUCCGGAUUUAUUGGGUGUAAAGGGCGUGUAGGCGGGAAUGCAAGUCAGAUGUGAAAACUAUGGGCUCAACCCAUAGCCUGCAUUUGAAACUGUAUUUCUUGAGUGCUGGAGAGGCAAUCGGAAUUCCGGGUGUAGCGGUGAAAUGCGUAGAUAUACGGAGGAACACCAGUGGCGAAGGCGGAUUGCUGGACAGUAACUGACGCUGAGGCGCGAAAGCGUGGGGAGCAAACAGGAUUAGAUACCCUAGUAGUC
rnacentral:rRNA from 1 species